rnacentral:lncRNA from 1 species
CUCUUGAUCAAUUUGGGGAAGGAGGGAAACUAACAUUUUCACCUGUAGAUUUCAUUCACUCCUCAUGACAACCCCACAUAGUGGGAAUCCAUAACUCCAUUUGGAAGACAAGACAUUGAGGCUCGGAGAGGUUAAAAAACUUCCUCAAACUGGCCAAGGGGAACCCAAGGCCCAUCCUUCUCCUGUCAAGUAAUUCUCUGUUCUGAAGCUUCUCUGCCUCUCAAAAAAAGCCCCUAGGUAGCCCUUCUUGUGUCUUUGUUCUGAUCUCUCCCACUUUCUAGGACUUAUUCAAAUCCUAUGUAACCGUCAACACUUAGCUCAAACCCACCACAUUUAGGACGAGUUCCUGGCCACCCGCCUACCAUGUUUCACCAGGUUCCCCAAUCACAGAGCUGCUGUGUAGUCUUGCUCUUCCAUACAGCCUGUGAUCAUCACCUUUAUGCUCUUGUCUUGUGUUUUCUAACUUCAUAUGGAUUCGGGUCUUGUUUUCUGUCCCUCAGAUUGUAAACUCCUUGAGGGUAGGGGAGAAAAGUACCCUGUUUCUUUACAAUCCCUGCAGAGCCUAGCAGAAUGCCUUCAGCUCAAUCGAGAUUUGUUGAAUUAAUAAUGGCAAGUUACAGAUGUCUGAAAUGCUAUGCUAAGAUGAGAACCCCAGAACGAUAAGCAGCUAUAACUAUGGAACCUUCUAAGCCCAAAGGAAAAGUUAUUGGCAGAUAUUUUAGGGAAGUUCACAUUACAUUUCCAAUGUCAAUCAUUUGAUGUUGCCUUGGUUCAUUACCGUGAUCAUAGCUUAGUGAGCGAUAAUGGCCUCACACAUCUGCAUGAAUUUCUUAAAAACAAUUCAGAUUGCUAUGACACUUUAUCAGAAAAAUGACAUUCUUAGAAAGGAAGGAAAGGGGACUUAUCUAUUAGACCACAUGAUUAUUCCUCAAAGUGCAGUUACAACCAGGACCCCAGGAAGGAGUUUCAAACCUCAUGAGAUUUGGAGGGGCCAAGGGCAGAAUGAUAUGGUUUGGCUGUGUCCCCAUU